rnacentral:rRNA from 1 species
GACGAACGCUGGCGGCGUGCUUAACACAUGCAAGUCGAACGGAAAGGCCCUGCUUUUGUGGGGUGCUCGAGUGGCGAACGGGUGAGUAACACGUGAGUAACCUGCCCUUGACUUUGGGAUAACUUCAGGAAACUGGGGCUAAUACCGGAUAGGAGCUCCUGCUGCAUGUGGGGGGUUGGAAAGUUUCGGCGGUUGGGGCUGGACUCGCGGCUUAUCCGCUUGUUGGUGGGGUAGUGGCUUACCAAGGCUUUGACGGGUAGCCGGCCUGAGAGGGUGACCGGCCACAUUGGGACUGAGAUACGGCCCAGACGGCUACGGGAGGCAGCAGGGGGGAAUAUUGCACAAUGGGCGGAAGCCUGAUGCAGCAACGCCGCGUGCGGGAUGACGGCUUUCGGGUUGUAAACCGCUGUCGCCUGUGACGAAGCGUGAGUGACGGUAAUGGGUAAAGAAGCACCGGCUAACUACGUG